CUUAUCUAAAGGAAAAAAACAUUAAUUACCAAAAGCUAAACUAAACAAGUAAGUACACAGUCUCAAUCUUUAAGUCUAGACUGAAAACUUACUUGUUUAGUUUAGCUUUUGGUAAUUAAUGUUUUUUCCUUUAGAUAAGGCUGCAGAUUCAGGGGUUCAUGGACAGAGGGAAUUGUGGUAAACUGAGAUGCUGGUGCUGCUAUUCUCCCACUGCACACGGUCACUCAGGUUUGUGGACGGUGGAGUGGGUGGAUGCCAGUGUUUCACGGAGCCUCCAUGUCUAUCUUACCUUCUGGCUCUCUGCCUUUAGUUAGGCUGUUUUAUUCAGUUCUGCCGGAGUCAUUUGCCACACUCUGAUAAUGUUUUAAUAUUCUCAGUUUUGCAUAAAUCCAGUCAAAACUAAUUCCAUCUCUCUGCCUUCCUCCGAGUUACUGACUGCCCACCUGUCUGACCCGAUACCGAUGUUGGACCCUCAGGCUCUCGCGUCUCCUGUCCGGCCAGACUGAUGGAAGUUUCUGAAGUCAGCUCUUCUCCACCACCACCACAGAUCAGCUGCUCAUCGUCCAUCUUAUUCUCCACUACUGAUUACAUCCAAGCCAUUAGUGGCGCUAUUACACUCCUGAAUACAUAAAACCUAUAUGGAUGUAUAAAAGACUUUUUAAAUUUUAAUUUAAAAGCCGUUUGACCAGUGGUAGGAUGGUCCCCCCUCAAAUGUGAGUCUUGGUCCUCCCAAGGUUUCUUCCUCCUCCUGCAGCUCUGAGGGAGUUUUUCCUUGCCUCCGCGCUCACUGGGGGUUCUGUAUUUUCUAUGUUUAAUGUUUUGCCUGAUUCUUUGUCCUGUAAUCAUGUUUCUGUAAAGCUGCUUUGUGCCAACACCUGUUGUAAAAAGCGCUAUACAAAUAAAUUUGAUUUGAUGA